UGGGAGGUAGUUUAUCAAAAACAUUGGUUUGUGGUAUCAAAGAUAGUUUAUUACUCCUUUCAU
rnacentral:tRNA from 1 species